AGUUGUUUUCAGCUUCUUAAUUUUGUAGGUUUAUGCCUUUUGCAAAAUUUGGGAAGUUUUCUUCUUUUAUUUAUUUGUUCAUUUGUAUUUUUUCAGCCCCACCUUCUCUCUUGCCUCCGGCCAGGACUCUGAGACACGCGUGUUAGACCUUCUGCUACAGCUCCAUGGUCCCAACACUAAGAGUGCUCUGUUUUUUGUGUCUUGGGUCUGUUUUCUCUCUGUUGUUCAGAUUGGGUGAUUUUUACUGUUUUAGCUUUCAGUCCCCUGGUUCUUUAUUCUGCCCUGUCUCUUUUCUGUUGAGCCAGAGUCCUUUAAGUUCUGUUGUUUCUGUUCUUCCUUCCAGGAGAGCCUGGCUGGCCUGCAGGGCCUGCUGGGUGUCGUCUGUCUGGGUACAGCCUGCAGCCCCGGAGAUGUCUUGAGCAGCCAGAGCAGGUCAAAGGCCCAGGGUUCCCUCCUCAGACACAGGCUUGUCUGUAACAGUUGUGGCGGUGACGCAUCUGGGCACUCUGCUGACACGGUCCCCAGCAUCCUGGAUGCCCAAGCACCCUCUCCGUGGGUAAGGACAAUCAUCCAUGAGCACAUCAUGAAACACCGCUUGCGGCGAUGGGUGCCCUGCCCGCGGUGACAUCCUGGCAAGAGCCUGGCACAGGGUCCUUGGAGCCAGACUAACUCAGGGCCCAGACCUGCUCUGUGCUGACCAGUUGGCAAAGGCCCCGAGGACCCUCGUGCAGAGCCCUGCCCACUGCACCACCCAGUAGAAUGGUGCCCGGCCGCCGUGUGUCUGCAGGAAGCUUGUGAGCGAGAUGGCGGGCUUAGCUUUUGGACUCUGCACAUAAAGGGUUACAGGGUCCACUUUGGGACCCGCAAAGUAAACACAGCAUGUUUUCUUAAUCCCUCUCACCGUGUCUGUACACAGUUUUGCGUGCUGUGUUUAAUGGAAGGGGAGCUCGUGCUUGGCAAGACUGCUCCCCUGUGCUAGGAUCAGAGGGCAGGUGCGGAUGGAGGGUGGGGUGGCUGCCUGCACGGCCCACCGGUGGGGACGGAGGACUGGCUUCCUGCAUCCCGGCGCCCCAGGAGCCACAGCAUCUGGAGUGCGUUACACAGAUGCACUGAGGGCGUUUACUUCCUGGCUGACUAUAAGUCACUUACUUAUUAUGGCUGCAUUUAAAGGGCUGCCCGACUUCCCCCUGGAUCAGAGUCCCUGCUCCCUGGAAAACACAGUUGAAAACAUCCCUGGCUCAGAGUGGAUCCAGCACGUCCGAAUCGCAUUGUCCCUCGGGAUGCUCUUUCCUGUCACUGGAACACCCAAUAUGCUGAUGGCUCAGAGUGACAAUAACGAAGUCCCUUACCAGUUUCUGUGUGGACGGCUGCUGAUUUUUUGGUCCAUGAUUGCUUUGGUUGUAGAAGAACUACAAGAGAAUUUUAGAAGAGCAUCAUGUCCUUGGCAAACCAGUUAGAUCAUCCUGCUGCGUUUCCGUGACUUUCCUCUGCAAUUGUGGCUCCAAAUCGUAGAGACUGGUUUCCUAGGAAAUAAAAACCAAGAGGUGAAGACCACAGGGGCCGUUGGUGGGCUGCUUGGGUGGACAGCCAGCAUCUGGAAGGUUCAUGGCGUGUCAGCAUUCGCGCCAGGGUUGUGAGGCCCCUCUCUGUGCUGCGGUUACUGGAGGGGCUGCGGUGACGAGUGUGCCAACUCUUUCGACAUAUGCCCUUCACCACACAGAGAAGGUGCUUGGAAAAUCUGGACACUUGACAGUCGGGUUACAAAAGCCUUGGUAAUACUCAGAAAAGCCUCUGGUGAGCAGAGCCCAGGCUUACAGCAGGAUUCAAUUACCCGACGGAGGACUUAAGGACAGUUAUGCCAGAAGCUGAUGAGCUUGGCGAGUUACACAGACAGAGGUUUUGUGUUCCGUCUUUGUUUUUCUCUUCCUCUGGACACGGUAGUUGAAAAUGGUCUCAAGCAGCACUUAAUGUACACAGUGGCCCGGGGACCAUGUCAAUUCCGAGAUGGGACACACAAGAGGCAGCUCUUCUCCAGCUUGAAGGCUGAGGAGGGAAGUCGUUUGUCUGCUGCCCGUGGACCUGUCAUGGAGCAGGGCUGGCUUUCAUCCCGUCUCCUCCCCACAGGACCAGGAACCAGACAGCACAGUGGGAGCCUCACACCGCAGGGAAGUCCCCAGAGUCUGAGGAAAAGGAGGAAGAGAAGAAAGCGGGCGGAGGGAGACUCGGUCAAGAGGGAGGCCCCGGGCCCAGGGUUCCUGGUCUGGCCGGCCCUUGUCCUGCCGCCUGGACCCUGAGCAGCUGCACAGGGGCGGUGGUCCCACCCGAGAGGCCACAGGGGCUACACCCCUGCCGGGAGGGUAGCACCCCGGCCCAGUGCAGCAACUGCCAGCUGUCUGGGAGGAACUCACCUUGAAAGGCCCCGGAAUUAAAUGACCUGGGGGGUCGGGGGCAGCCCUUUCCCACUGUUCAGAUUCAGGCACAAAAAGGCUCUGUGAGAGCAGAAGGGCCCUGAAAUCACAGCACUAACGAAGCUCUCAUCCACAGAGUCCUUGUGGUGACAGAGCGAGAGGAAAGCUUUUUAAGAUCCUGCAGCGACAGCAGGCAGCCAGCCCUUAAGAAAUGCUGCCUCACCGCCUGCCACCGACCCCGGGAGGCCGCUGCCGAACAAGGGCACCCGCGCUAGGGUUCAAAGGACUUGCUGCACUGCUACUGGGUCACCUUUGUCCUCAUAGCCCCUGGCAGAGGGCAGAGAGGACGGUGCCCUGGGACGGGUCACAGAGGACUCAGCUGUGGCUCCCCCACCUCUGCUCUCUCAGCCCAGGUUUCUCCGCGUGAAGCCCCAGUCCACUGCCAAGGCCGGGCGUUGGGAUGACGGGUUCGGGAGCUGCAGUCAUAAAAACUAGCUUCCAGGAAUGGCAGGGUCGAGAGUCAUGUCCCGCGUGAUAGAAGCUCUGUAGAAAAAUCCAUUCUGGGAAAAAUGUGUGGGCGUGUGGUUCUCGGCACCGGGGCUGGAGGUACCGCUGCCUGCUGGAGCCUCAGCAUGUGGCUGGCGCAGGGGUGGCGUCCAGUCUGAUCGUCAGUCACCCAGACAGGUGCUUCCCCCGAGGUGUGUGCCCGGGCGCCGGGGUGCCCGCCCGCAGGCUCUUCUCUGGUGGUGGCUGCUCUAGGCUGGGGUGCGUCCUCACUUCAACCUCUCGAGGACGUUUAAGGAGUGACGCCCUGAGUGUCCGACCCCGCGCCUCAUCUCAUCUCCUCUCUCCUGUGCUGACCCGAGAGUCCUGAGAGGCGGGGGUCCCCAAGGCCACCUUGGUGGGCACCCCACUUUGGCCCGUGUCACUGUCGCUCUGACCAACACUGCUCCCUCCUCCAGCUCUGCUGCGGCUUGGAGGGUGGGCUGGGGAGAGGCCGUGGGCGCGGAUCUCAUCUUUCCGUGGUCUGAGCAGCCGGGGGACAUGGCUUCACGUCCAGAGCGUGGCGGGGUCACUGAGGGCCCGGCGGAGUCGCUUGUGGAACGUGCUGACUCAGUUCCUGGCACGCAGCGAGUGCUUGAUAAAUUUCAAAGGUCAUCCCAAAUAUUUCUAUCACUGUUGGGGCCGAGUGUUUAAAGACGCAUCUGGUUCAUCUUAGAGCGUGUCUGACGGACCCCGCCCCGGCCCCAGCUUUACUCUCGGGCCCUGGAGCCGACCCCCGAGAGCUCUGCCAGAGGACGAAAUGCGCGUCUGCUCGCCACUCCGGUCACAGGUGGAGGCCUCGGGGGUCUUCGGGCAGCCCAGGGGCCCCCAGCCGCCAGUGUCCCGGGCCGGCAGCCCUCAGUGCUGGGUGGGGGCCCAGACUGAAGCCGGGCACUAGCGAGGGCUGCAGCCACGGCCGUCGCUGCCCCCGUCUCCUGUCAGGAAACUCUGGGGCACGCUGUCGCAGCACAGCUCAGGACUCUUUGGCCUUUCCUCACGCCCCUGGUGGCGUUAGGUAAACACGCUGGAGGCUGGUGCUUUUGCUCGAGCAGGGCCUACCCCGAGCUUCCCUUCUGCUCCACCAGACCCUUCUCCAAGCCUCCCCGCCUCGCUGCUCCCCAAGGGCAAAGUGGGGCAGCGAGGCGGCUUAGGAGAGGCUACUUCCAAUGAAACUUCCAAACGUGGACAAGAGUGGUUUCCUCCUUUAGUUUUUCCUGCCUUUAAAACAACACGACAUUUUCCAAAUGCAAUGUGCCCCUCCCCCCACAACGUGGCCACCUCCUCCAAGAAGCCCCACUGGCCUGUUCCGGAGGGGCAUGGCCCUGCCUCUUCUGCAGCCCUGCUGGGACAGCCUGCCACUUGGGGCCACCUUCUGUUAAGGUCCCUAUGUGGCCACUUGCAUGUAACCAUCACCACUCAGGGCCAGCCGACAGCCAGACUGCAGAUGGGGCUCACUGAGAGAGGACCAGUUUGGGGUGGAAAAUCCGCUUGAAAUUUUUUGUUCCUCCGUUCUUGGGUAGAUGUGGAAUUUAACCCAACAGAUAUGGAUAACCGACUACGAGAUGCUAGGAAGGUGGCGGGUUUACUCCUACGGCAAGGGAGACAUGGGGCGAUGCAGGCAUGGAGCCCUGGGGAGACCGAGGCAGGAACAGGGACCACUGGCUGGUGGCAGGGACCCUUGUCCUCCCCCACCCACCUGCCCACGCUGUCCUUGGGACACGACCCCGCUGCAAAGAGGGGGCAGGGCAGCAGAGGGCCCUGUGGUCAGAAGAGGCUCCAUCUGCCAGCCGUGCCCCUCCUAACCUGGAGGGGACAGUUAAAAAUCCAGUCUUCGCUGCAGGAGGGGACAUUUUGUGACAGUGGUUACAGUGGAUGAGGCUCUUUUUUUUUGGUCUUUUUAGGGCCGCACCUGCGGCACACGGAGGUUCCCAGGCUGGGGGUUGAUUUGGAGCUGCAGCCUCUGGCCUACGCCACAGCCACAGCAAUGCAGGCUCUGAGCCGCAUCUGCGGCCUGCACCACAGCUCAGGGCCGGUGGGUGACGCUUUAGUGAGCAGGGACGUAAAGCUGCAGAGGCGGAAGCCCGGCCUGGGGCGAGUCCGGAGGCGGUGGUCCUGGCUGCGCUUGGCGGGCCGGGCAGGCACUGAGCCACAACUCUGAUUGCCCAUUAAUCUGUGGUGUGAGCAACGCUUUUCCUCUUCUGAAGAGCGGGUUCUUAACUAGAUGCUGUCAACUGUCCGCUUUGAUCCAUCAAAAAGACGUUCGCUUUAUUAUUAAAAUAUUGAGGACAUCA